rnacentral:rRNA from 1 species
GACUAUAAGUUCAACGGCCGCGGUAUUUUGACCGUGCGAAGGUAGCGUAAUCACCUGUCUUUUAAAUGGAGACCUGUAUGAAUGGCACGACGAGGGCUUGACUGUCUCCUUUUUCCAGUCGAUGAAAUUGAUCUCUCCGUGCAGAAGCGGGGAUACUAACAUAAGACGAGAAGACCCUAUGGAGCUUUAGACGCCAGGACAGACCAUGUCAAGCAACCCCAGACAAGGGGUCAAACCAAAUGCACCCUGUCCCAGUGUCUUUGGUUGGGGCGACCGCGGGGAACUACAAAACCCCCACGUGGAAUGGGAAUACCCUCCUACAACUGAGAGCUUCCGCUCUAGUGAACAGAAAUUCUGACCAGCAAGAUCCGGCAACGCCGAUUAACGGACCGAGUUACCCUAGGGAUAACAGCGCAAUCCCCUUUUAGAGCCCAUAUCGACAAGGGGGUUUACGACCUCGAUGUUGGAUCAGGACAUCCUAAUGGUGCAGCCGCUAUUAAGG